rnacentral:rRNA from 1 species
CAGGCUUAACACAUGCAAGUCGAGGGGCAGCAUGGUCUUAGCUUGCUAAGGCCGAUGGCGACCGGCGCACGGGUGAGUAACGCGUAUCCAACCUGCCUUACACUCUUGGACAGCCUUCUGAAAGGGAGAUUAAUACAAGAUGUUAUCAUGAGUAAGCAUUUUCGCAUGAUUAAAGGUUUACCGGUGUAAGAUGGGGAUGCGUUCCAUUAGAUAGUAGGCGGGGUAACGGCCCACCUAGUCUUCGAUGGAUAGGGGUUCUGAGAGGAAGGUCCCCCACAUUGGAACUGAGACACGGUCCAAACUCCUACGGGAGGCAGCAGUGAGGAAUAUUGGUCAAUGGACGAGAGUCUGAACCAGCCAAGUAGCGUGAAGGAUGAAGGUUCUAUGGAUUGUAAACUUCUUUUAUACGGGAAUAAACGAAUCCACGCGUGGAUUUUUGCAUGUACCGUAUGAAUAAGGAUCGGCUAACUCCGUGCCAGCAGCCGCGGUAAUACGGAGGAUCCGAGCGUUAUCCGGAUUUAUUGGGUUUAAAGGGAGCGUAGAUGGGUUGUUAAGUCAGUUGUGAAAGUUUGCGGCUCAACCGUAAAAUUGCAAUUGAUACUGGCAGUCUUGAGUACAGUUGAGGUAGGCGGAAUUCGUGGUGUAGCGGUGAAAUGCUUAGAUAUCACGAAGAACUCCGAUUGCGAAGGCAGCUUACUAACCUGUAACUGACAUUGAUGCUCGAAAGUGUGGGUAUCAAACAGGAUUAGAUACCCUGGUAGUCCACACGGUAAACGAUGAAUACUCGCUGUAGGCGAUAUACAGUCUGCGGCCAAGCGAAAGCAUUAAGUAUUCCACCUGGGGAGUACGCCGGCAACGGUGAAACUCAAAGGAAUUGACGGGGGCCCGCACAAGCGGAGGAACAUGUGGUUUAAUUCGAUGAUACGCGAGGAACCUUACCCGGGCUUAAAUUGCAACCGAAUAUGGCGGAAACGCUAUAGCUAGCAAUAGCGGUUGUGAAGGUGCUGCAUGGUUGUCGUCAGCUCGUGCCGUGAGGGGUCGGCUUAAGUGCCAUAACGAGCGCAACCCUUGCCGAUAGUUACUAACAGGUUAUGCUGAGGACUCUGUCGGGACUGCCAUCGUAAGAUGUGAGGAAGGUGGGGAUGACGUCAAAUCAGCACGGCCCUUACGUCCGGGGCUACACACGUGUUACAAUGGGGGGUACAGAGGGCUGCUACCACGCAAGUGGAUGCCAAUCCCAAAAACCUCUCUCAGUUCGGAUUGAAGUCUGCAACCCGACUUCAUGAAGCUGGAUUCGCUAGUAAUCGCGCAUCAGCCACGGCGCGGUGAAUACGUUCCCGGGCCUUGUACACACCGCCCGUCAAGCCAUGGGAGCCGGGGGUACCUGAAGUGCGUAACCGCAAGGAGCGCCCUAGGGUAAAACUGGUGACUG